AAACCGCCUUAAGGCUUGUACGGAGAGGGAAGCAUGAAGAUAAUAAGGAGAAAGUAACGUCUGAUGAAAGAGCACAGAAAACAAACAAGUUUUCAAGAAAGAUUCUGUGCACUUUAAUAAGUAUCGGAAACCCGAAUCUCACUCCGAGAUCAGAACCACAUUUAGCCUUCUGAUUACCAUUGUUCUGUACUUGCCCACUCAGGGAGUGGGACGAGGAAAGUCAGCUAAGUAUUAUAAUUAAAGCUUUCAGUCUCUCUGCAUCAUCCGUCUUUCCUCACCUCGUUUAAAUAAGUGUAGUGAUUUAAAGGAACAUUACAUCAAAAAGUAGAAAUAAAUCAUUUGACAACGUUCAGAUUGGCCUACGAUGGAUGUUGUGGAGGUAAAAAGCACAGCCGCCUGUCAGCAACAUCGUCCAUUUAAAUAAUUAACAGUAUAUGUAGUGCUUAUUGAUUGAACAACGGCGUAUUGAUUAUAACCU